ensembl:lncRNA
AGGACCUAACAGCUGUAUGACCUUGGACUAGCUCCCUUGGGCUCUUCAUCUACUAAAUGAGAGGACGAAUCUCCAACUUUAAACAUUGUUUGAGAAUAAACUGAAAUAAGAUAAAAUCCAUACAGUUCAGAUGCUGAAGCUGAAGCUCCAGUUCUUUGGCAACCUGAUGCACCAGACCUCCAGUUUCCUGGGUCCUCCACUCCCUUGGCUCAGAUGGACGAAUGGCGCCAUGGAAGAGCUGGAGGCUGCACUUGGAUGGAACCAGCCCCUGUUCCUCAGCUGGAAACAUAGGGAGGUCAGCUGUCAGCUGGGCACCAGACUGGACACUGAGGGGCCUUGAAUGACAGACCAAAGGGUGGGCUAAUUUAACUAGAUCCCUUUGUUUCCUAGUGAUCGGAAUCUAAGUGCUCAUCAGUGAGUUUCCGUGCCUUAUUUUAUAACAUUUUGUUUUUUCAUCAGUUGGAAAAUGCAGUACAAUUGCCUUUUUGGAGGUAUACCUCUAUGCAUAUUAACAGCGUAUACGUGGGUGUGAGCGCUUCUACCCUCAGGACACAGAACAGUCCCCCAGGCAAAAAUGUCCCAUGCCACUUUGUCAUCCACAUCUUCUCCCCCCACCCUUGACUCUUAACAACUAUACUUUUGUCUGUUCGAGAAUAUCAUGUAAAUAAAAGAAAUUAUGCUGAGA